AAACCAGCACCUCAAGUGGUCAGGAGGAUUAUUGGGCCUAAAGCAUCCGUAGCCUGCUGCAUAAGUUUUCGGUUAAAUCCAUACGCUCAACGUAUGGGCUGCCGGGAAUACUGUGCAGCUAGGGAGUGGGAGAGGUAGACGGUACUCGGUAGGAAGGGGUAAAAUCCUUUGAUCUAUCGAUGACCACCUGUGGCGAAGGCGGUCUACCAGAACACGUUCGACGGUGAGGGAUGAAAGCUGGGGGAGCAAACCGGAUUAGAUACCCGAGUAGUCC
rnacentral:rRNA from 1 species